rnacentral:rRNA from 1 species
UACGUAGGCAGCAAGCGUUGUUCGGAGUUACUGGGCGUAAAGAGUGCGUAGGCGGUGCUCCAAGUCUGUUGUGAAAUCUCCCGGCUUAACUGGGAGGGUGCGGUGGAAACUGGGGUGCUUGAGUGUGGGAGAGGGACGCGGAAUUCCAGGUGUAGCGGUGAAAUGCGUAGAUAUCGUCAAGAACACCGAUAGUGAAGACAGCUAACUAAGCUUUAACUGACGCUGAGGCACGAAAGUGUGGGGAUCAAACAGG